rnacentral:misc_RNA from 1 species
CAAAGUCUUAUCUCAAACUCUAAAGCAAAAUCAUGACUAGUGGUUAUAAGUUAUUCCCAAAAUUCUCAACACACUGGACAUUUCCUGACUAUCAAACUUAAGGCCAUUUUGCAUGAUAUGUGUUUCCCUCUUUCAUUUGUUUGCCUAAGACUAACAAAUUUAACUGUUUUGGUCAAAUUUUCUUGUCAAAUUUCUUGGAAAGAUAAUAUUAUGUUUAGAAAUUUGCAUUGUUAGAUAAAAUAGAGAAUACAGUUUUGAUUAUCUAAGUUUGUUCAUCAACUGGAAUACAUUGGCUUUACUUGGUCUCGGUUUUCUUCCCUCUGAUUGCCAUGUAAUAACUUUUUUUGGGCUAAUCGACUCUUGUUCUUUGGUUGAAAUGUGCACUGCUAU